GGGUGUACACGGUGCAUAUUGCUGCGUGACAGGUUUUAGCGUAGGUCGGGCCGCCACG
rnacentral:ncRNA from 1 species